ACGGAUGUAGCUCAAACGGAAGAGCGGCGGUCUCCAAAACCGCAGGUUGGGGGUUCGAGUCCCCCCGUCCGUGCCA
rnacentral:tRNA from 1 species